GUACACACCGCCCGUCGCUCCUACCGAUUGGGUGAUCCGGUGAAAUGUUCGGAGGCUGACCGUCGCUGCUGGGGCAACUCAGUAGUGGUUAACCAAAGUCCAUUAAACCAUAUCAUUUAGAGGAAGGAGAAGUCGUAACAAGGUUUCCGUAGGUGAACCUGCAGAAGGAUCA
rnacentral:rRNA from 1 species